rnacentral:rRNA from 1 species
AACGCGAAGAACCUUACCUGGGCUUGACAUUACGGGAAAAGCCGUAGAGAUACGGUGUCCUUCGGGGCCCGUAACAGGUGGUGCAUGGCUGUCGUCAGCUCGUGUCGUGAGAUGUUGGGUUAAGUCCCGCAACGAGCGCAACCCUUGUCCUAUGUUGCCAGCGGAUAAUGCCGGGGACUCGUAGGAGACUGCCGGGGUCAACUCGGAGGAAGGUGGGGACGACGUCAAGUCAUCAUGCCCCUUAUGUCCAGGGCUGCAAACAUGCUACAAUGGCCGGUACAAAGGGCUGCUAUCCCGCGAGGGUGAGCGAAUCCCAUAAAGCCGGUCUCAGUUCGGAUCGAAGUCUGCAACUCGACUUCGUGAAGCCGGAGUCGCUAGUAAUCCCGGAUCAGCACGCCGGGGUGAAUACGUUCCCGGGCCUUGUACACACCGUAGUAC